CUCCUACCACCUGUGGCCGAGUGCCACAUCUUCAGUCCCUGUACAGAUGUGGAAGUCUGACCACAGAAAUGAGCAUUUCACCUUUAUUGCAAUGAAGCAGUGGCAACAGAAGAAUUAAAACACUCUGCCUGUAACCAAACUUGCUCUCCAGACACAGACAGCAUGGGAAAGUCUCAUUUCUAGGAGCACAGCCUUCACUCUGCAGUACAAUAUAACCUAGGGCAGGCUUUCCAUGUUUGAGGCCAGGAGCAUCAGCUGUCAUGUUUGUUGAAGUUCCUCUAGAGAGCAUUUUCACAAAGGCAGUGGGAUGGUCUAUUAAAAUAGACAAGUGCUAAAGGAGAACAGGC